GAUGAAGAACGUAGUGAAAUGCGAUAAGUAAUGCGAAUUGCAGAAUUCAGUGAGUCAUCGAAUCUUUGAACGCACAUUGCGCCCCCUGGCAUUCCGGGGGGCAUGCCUGUCCGAGCGUCAUUUCUGCCCUCCAGCCCGGCUGGGUGUUGGGCGCUGUCCCCCCGGGGACACGCCCCAAAGGCAGUGGCGGCGCCGCGUCGGGUCCUCGAGCGUAUGGGGCUUUGUCACCCGCUCGGGACGGACUCGUCGGCGCUGGUCUUCCUCCAGGCGACCCUUCGGGGCUCGUCUUCCUUCGGUUGACCUCGGAUCAGGUAGGGUUACCCGCUGAACUUAAGCAUAUCAAUAAGCGGAGGA
rnacentral:misc_RNA from 1 species